GGCCUAUCAGCUUGUUGGUGAGGUAAUGGCUCACCAAGGCGACGACGGGUAGCCGGCCUGAGAGGGUGACCGGCCACACUGGGACUGAGACACGGCCCAGACUCCUACGGGAGGCAGCAGUGGGGAAUAUUGCACAAUGGGCGCAAGCCUGAUGCAGCGACGCCGCGUGAGGGAUGACGGCCUUCGGGUUGUAAACCUCUUUCAGUAGGGAAGAAGCCUUCGGGUGACGGUACCUGCAGAAGAAGCGCCGGCUAACUACGUGCCAGCAGCCGCGGUAAUACGUAGGGCGCGAGCGUUAUCCGGAAUUAUUGGGCGUAAAGAGCUCGUAGGCGGUUUGUCGCGUCUGCUGUGAAAGCCCGGGGCUUAACUCCGGGUGUGCAGUGGGUACGGGCAGACUAGAGUGCAGUAGGGGAGACUGGAAUUCCUGGUGUAGCGGUGAAAUGCGCAGAUAUCAGGAGGAACACCGAUGGCGAAGGCAGGUCUCUGGGCUGUUACUGACGCUGAGGAGCGAAAGCAUGGGGAGCGAACAGGAUUAGAUACCCUGGUAGUCCAUGCCGUAAACGUUGGGCACUAGGUGUGGGGGACAUUCCACGUUUUCCGCGCCGUAGCUAACGCAUUAAGUGCCCCGCCUGGGGAGUACGG
rnacentral:rRNA from 1 species